GGGCCGGUAGUCUAGUCUGGUAGUGAUGCCCGCUUCGCAAGCGGGAGAUCGCGGGUUCGAAUCCCGCCCGGUCCA
rnacentral:tRNA from 1 species